rnacentral:rRNA from 1 species
GACGAACGCUGGCGGCGUGCUUAACACAUGCAAGUCGAACGGAAAGGCCCUGCUUUUGUGGGGUGCUCGAGUGGCGAACGGGUGAGUAACACGUGAGUAACCUGCCCUUGACUUUGGGAUAACUUCAGGAAACUGGGGCUAAUACCGGAUAGGAGCUCCUGUUGCAUGGUGGGGGUUGGAAAGUUUCGGCGGUUGUGGAUGGACUCGCGGCUUAUCAGCUUGUUGGUGGGGUAGUGGCUUACCAAGGCUUUGACGGGUAGCCGGCCUGAGAGGGUGACCGGCCACAUUGGGACUGAGAUACGGCCCAGACGCCUACGGGAGGCAGCAGUGGGGAAUAUUGCACAAUGGGCGGAAGCCGGAUGCAGCAACGCCGCGUGCGGGAUGACGGCCUUCGGGUUGUAAACCGCUUUCGCCUGUGACGAAGCGUGAGUGACGGUAAUGGGUAAAGAAGCACCGGCUAACUACGUG